UACGGUCAUAUCUCGUUGAAACAUCGGUUUCUGUAGGAUCACCGAAGUUAAGCAACGUUGAGCCUGGUCAGAAACUAGAUGGGUGACCGCUUGCGAAUACCAAAUGCUGUAUU